CUUCCCGUAGCUCACUCGGAUAGAGCGGGUCCCUCCUAAGGACCAGGCAAUGUGUUCAAAUCACAUCGGGAAGGCCA
rnacentral:tRNA from 2 species